CCCACUUUCUAUGCUAAGUAAGUCCACAUCUUUAGUCUUUUUAGUAUCCUUGUCCUCUGGUAGGGACCUUCCAGCACGUAUACUGAAUUAUUUGUUUAUUCUUUUCUUUAUCUGCUGGUUUCUGCAAAAUGUCCUUAUAGUUCAUUCCAGAUGUCUAGCUUCAAUAGCACAUCUUUCUCAGGCUUUGUUCACUGAACCAUAUCAAAGUUAGUUUAACAAAACUUAAAGUUUUAGCACUUUUCCCAAGCUAUGUUCUCACAAAAGUAGCUAAACACUGGGUAAAAGUGAUUUAAGGCCUAACACAGCAUCUAUAAUUAAUUAAAACAACUAAUCAAAAGGUUAAUUAAAGUUAGUAAAAAUUAGAAAAGUUAUUUCCAACUGUGUGCAGAAUGACACAUUUAUGUAUUAUUUCUGCAACGAUUCAGUGCUUUACAGCCAGGAGUAUUUUUAUUUUUCUGGCAAUUAGUGCUGUGAGGAGAGCAGAAUUUUAGUUUUCACUCCAUUUUGCUUUACAUUGUACUUCUGAAAACGUAGUGUAUCCAUUAAACUUCACUUGUUGCCAUAACUGUGUAGUAUUGCAAGUAAAAAGGUUUUGUAUCAAUAAUUACAAACACACCUCUGAUUAGAUCUAAGAAUAACAAUAACAACAUGGAAAGAAUGGUUUUAAAGUUCUUCAAGUAGGGCUCUAGACUGCUUCAUAGACACACCUGCCUAUUUACUGCUUUCAGUGAAGUGGUCUUCUGUCUACAGAAAAGACCUGAGAGUUGUGGCCCUGAUUCCUAAUCGUGGUCUGCCUACAUGAAACACUGCUAGAGAUUGUGUUUGACUGUGCAGAAGGGAGGUCCCUGUGACAAAGGAGCCUCAGAGUAUACAGCACUACUAAGAACCUUUUGCCGGUUACUGCUGCUUUACCCAAGGGUGUGUCUGUAUGUGCUGUAACAGGGUGUUCUACCCUGCCGGUGCUGCACACAGGGUCCCUGUACCCACACACUGCUGCUGCUGCUAUGUGGCUGGGACUUAUCCUGUGUUUCCUAGCCUUGGCAUGCAGUCCUGCUGGGACUGAAUAUGUGACACAAAACAGGACAGCGUGGCAUUUGCUCCUUUGCAGUCUCAGGCAGGUCAGUUUUUCUAACUUGUCCUCAGAUAGGUUCUGUCAGCCACGUCCGAGAUGGAAGUGAAAUCAGAAUGAAACCUUCUGACUGAGGGGCUGUGGGGAGUUACCUGGUUCACCUUGACCCAGUGGGCAAGGCACUGGUGCAUCUAGUUUCAGUUUGUUUUUGAAAGGCAUGGUGUGAAAGCAUUAUCAGAUCCCUGCCUAGUAUCUGUGGUGUAGUUAUAUGAACUAUGCCAUAUGCUGAAGUUCAGCGGGAUGGUCUGUCUGGUGGAGCCAGCUGCCUCCUGAAGGCCUGGGAAGAAGGAAGAUUCCUAAUACUAAAACUGGAGAAGUAAAGGACAAGGGUGCUACAGUCUCUUUUGGCAUAUCAGCUCUAGUCAAUAGGCUAGGACAUGGUUGGGCUACUUCUGCCUGGUGUAAGUCUGCAGCCCAAUAUGAUAAGGAAGCCAGUGCAGACAGUGGAGGCCAUCUACUAAGCUGCAGGAACCUGGAGGCGUGUACAUCAUACACUACAUAUGCAGUGGAUUAUGCUGGUGUGAACUUCAAGAAUUGGACAAAUGCCCUCCUGAAAAUUCAGGCUGGA